UACGGAGGAUGCAAGCGUUAUCCGGAUUCAUUGGGCGUAAAGCGCGUGCAGGUGGUCUUGUAAGUUGGAUGUGAAAGCUCCUGGCUUAACUGGGAGAGGUCGUUCAAAACUGCAAGACUUGAGAUUGGUAGAGGGAGGUGGAAUUCCGGGUGUAGUGGUGAAAUGCGUAGAUAUCCGGAGGAACACCAGUGGCGUAAGCGGCCUCCUGGACCAAUUCUGACACUCAGACGCGAAAGCUAAGGUAGCAAACGGGAUUAGAGACCCCGGUAGUCUUAGCUGUAAACGAUGUGAACUUGGCGUCGGUGGGUUUAAAUCCAUCGGUGCCGAAGCUAACGCGAUAAGUUCACCGCCUGGGGACUACGGCCGCAAGGUUAAA
rnacentral:rRNA from 1 species